AUUUUCUUUGACAAACAAAUAUCUCACUUUGAAUUUGGAAUAUUUCCAUGCCAAGAAAAUAAUGUAUUUCCCCCAAGUCAGUAAUUUCAAACACCUUUUUCAAUUCAUUUUUCACCUUUUUAAUCAUUUUAUAGCUACCACCAGUAAUCAAGAGAUCAUCCGCAUACAAUGAGAUAAUGAUCAUCUCUUUCUCCUCUUGUUUUAUGAACAAAGUUUGUUCAUUCAAACUUCUCAAGAGGCCAAGUUUGCUCAAAUGUUCAUCUAUCCUGCUGUACCACGCUCUUGGAGCUUGUUUAAGUCCAUACAAGGCCUUUCUUAGUAGAUCAACUUUCUCUUCAUUUUCUACCAAUUGGAAACCUUCAGGCUGUUCGAUGGAAAUCUCUUCCUCCAAGUGUCCAUUCAAAAAUGUUGAUUUAACAUCCAACUGGUAGAUCUUCCAACCUCCGUGAACUGCUAUAGCAAAAAGCGUUCUAAUGGUUUCAUGCCUAGCUACUGGAGCAAACGUAUCAGUGAAGUCUAUUCCAUAUUAUUGGGCAUAUCCUUCCACAACUAGUCUGGCUUUAAGCUUAUUGACAGAUCCAUCUGGAUUUAACUUUGUUUUGUAUACCCACUUCAUUCCAAUUACAUGUUUAUCUUUUGGUCUAUCAACCAGUACCCUAGUUCUAUUCUUUUCAAUCAUGUUUAGCUCCUCCUUCAUUGCAUCCAUCUGCUCUUUUGAACCUGCUGCUUCAGCAAAGUUUGAAGGCUCCAAUGCAGCAACAUUACACCUAGCAUAUAUGUCUGGAAGUGGCAUUAUUUUCAGCACAGCAUUUUCAGAUUCUGAGUCACUAUCCGACUCUCCUUCUUCUUCAUUAACAUCAGUAUCAUCUGCCUGAGGAAUUGCUAUUGGAUUAUGAGGUUGCUUGACUGAAUUUGAUUCCCAAUUCCAUGUAGAUUCCUCAUCAACUUUGAUGUCUCUGAUGGAUAUCACCUUCUUGCUUUGUGGAUUGAAAACUCUAUAUCCUUUGGCAUUAUUGCAAAAACCAAUCAAGACACCUAUCUCAGCUUUUUGACUCAAUUUAUCCCUCUUAACAUCAGGAACAUGAACAAAGCAAACACUACCAAACACUUUCAAAUGAGAUACAUCAGGUUUUAUUUCAUACCAAGCUUCAAAGGGUGUCUUUUUAUCCAAAGUUUUUGUAGGCAAUCUGUUGAGUAGAUACACAGCUGUAUUUACUGCCUUUGCCCAGAACUCCUUAGGUACUUUUUUCUCAAACAUCAAGCAUCUUGCCAUCUCCAUAACCGUUUUUUGUUUCCUUUCACAUACACCAUUCUGCUGGGGAGAAUAAAGUAUAUUCAGUUGAUGUUUGAUUCCCAUAUCUUCACAAAAUUUAUCAAACUGACUACAACAAUAUUCUGUUCCAUUAUCUAAUUUGAUGGCUUUGAUUUUGCUAUUACAUUCAUUUUCCACCAAAUUCUUAAAAUUUUGAAACACAUUGGCCACCUCAGAUUUCAUUUUCAAGAAAUAUACCCAACAUAUUCUUGAUAUAUCAUCUAUGAAGAGGACAAAAUACUUACUACCAUUCAUAGUUGGUAUUCUCAUUGGUCCACAGAUAUCUGAAUGCACCAAUUUAAGCCUUUUUGUUGCCCUCUUUGCUUGAUUUUUAGGAAAUGGUAAUCUUGUUUGCUUUCCAAAUUGGCAUACAUCACACACACAAUCAUUACAACUGAUUUCAAGCAUAUUUUCAACUAGCUUCAGUUCAUGCAUAUGUUUGAGUGAUG
rnacentral:lncRNA from 1 species